GAUGAACGCUGGCGGCGUGCCUAAUACAUGCAAGUCGAGCGAACAGACGAGGAGCUUGCUCCUCUGACGUUAGCGGCGGACGGGUGAGUAACACGUGGAUAACCUACCUAUAAGACUGGGAUAACUUCGGGAAACCGGAGCUAAUACCGGAUAAUAUAUUGAACCGCAUGGUUCAAUAGUGAAAGACGGUUUUGCUGUCACUUAUAGAUGGAUCCGCGCCGCAUUAGCUAGUUGGUAAGGUAACGGCUUACCAAGGCAACGAUGCGUAGCCGACCUGAGAGGGUGAUCGGCCACACGGGAACUGAGACACGGUCCAGACUCCUACGGGAGGCAGCAGUAGGGAAUCUUCCGCAAUGGGCGAAAGCUUGACGGAGCAACGCCGCGUGAGUGAUGAAGGUCUUCGGAUCGUAAAACUCUGUUAUUAGGGAAGAACAAAUGUGUAAGUAACUAUGCACGUCUUGACGGUACCUAAUCAGAAAGCCACGGCUAACUACGUG
rnacentral:rRNA from 1 species